rnacentral:rRNA from 1 species
AACGAACGCUGGCGGCAGGCCUAACACAUGCAAGUCGAGCGAGGACUUCGGUCCUAGCGGCGGACGGGUGAGUAACGCGUGGGAACGUGCCCUUUGCUUCGGAAUAGCCCUGGGAAACUGGGAGUAAUACCGGAUGAGCCCUUUGGGGGAAAGAUUUAUCGGCGAAGGAUCGGCCCGCGUUGGAUUAGGUAGUUGGUGGGGUAAUGGCCUACCAAGCCGACGAUCCAUAGCUGGUUUGAGAGGAUGAUCAGCCACACUGGGACUGAGACACGACCCAGACUCCUACGGGAGGCAGCAGUGGGGAAUCUUAGACAAUGGGGGAAACCCUGAUCUAGCCAUGCCGCGUGAGCGAUGAAGGCCUUAGGGUUGUAAAGCUCUUUCAGCUGGGAAGAUAAUGACGGUACCAGCAGAAGAAGCCCCGGCUAACUCCGUG